UUUGAGAGUUUGAUCCUGGCUCAGGAUGAACGCUGGCGGCGUGCCUAACACAUGCAAGUUGAGCGAUUUACUUCGGUAAAGAGCGGCGGACGGGCGAGUAACGCGUGGGUAACCUACCCUGUACACACGGAUAACAUACCGAAAGGUAUGCUAAUACGGGAUAAUAUAUUGGAGAGGCAUCUCUUGAAUAUCAAAGGUGAGCCAGUACAGGAUGGACCCGCGUCUGAUUAGCUAGUUGGUAAGGUAACGGCUUACCAAGGCGACGAUCAGUAGCCGACCUGAGAGGGUGAUCGGCCACAUUGGAACUGAGACACGGUCCAAACUCCUACGGGAGGCAGCAGUGGGGAAUAUUGCACAAUGGGCGAAAGCCUGAUGCAGCAACGCCGCGU
rnacentral:rRNA from 1 species